GAGGGGUCCGCGCCUGAUUAGCUAGUUGGUGAGGUAAUGGCUCACCAAGGCUUCGAUCAGUAGCCGUCCUGAGAGGGAGCACGGCCACACUGGAACUGAGACACGGUCCAGACUCCUACGGGAGGCAGCAGUGGGGAAUUUUUGGCAAUGGGCGAAAGCCUGACCAAGCAACGCCGCGUGGGUGAUGAAGUAUCUUGGUACGUAAAACCCUUUCGGCAGGGACGAACUCAAUGACGGUACCUGCGGAAGAAGCCCCGGCUAACUCCGUGCCAGCAGCCGCGGUAAUACGGGGGGGGCAAGCGUUGUUCGGAAUUACUGGGCGUAAAGGGCGCGUAGGCGGUCAGAUAAGUCAGCUGUGAAAACCUCGGGCUUAACUCGAGGCCUGCAGUUGAAACUGUCUGGCUGGAGUGUGGGAGAGGAGAGUGGAAUUCCCGGUGUAGCGGUGAAAUGCGUAGAUAUCGGGAGG
rnacentral:rRNA from 1 species